CGGGGUGUAGCGCAGUUUGGUAGCGCACAUGCUUCGGGAGCAUGGGGCCGGAGGUUCAAAUCCUCUCACUCCGACCA
rnacentral:tRNA from 1 species